GCGGAGGGCGCCGGAGUCGUCUGCUUUGCCGCCUCCGCGGCUGUCUGCCCUGGAUUUCAGUCUCGUGCUUCCUUCGUCCGCUCGCCGGCGGGUUCGCGCCCCUCUCGAGCCCCUGGUCAGCGAGGCAGGGGAAGGGGUUGGAGGGGGCUGUUGAUCACUGCGCUUAAGUUGUGCUCGGAGCGGCCAUGUCGGCCGGCGAGGUCGAGCGCCUAGUGUCGGAGCUGAGCGGCGGGACCGGAGGGGAUGAGGAGGAAGAGUGGCUCUAUGGCGAUGAAAAUGAAGUUGAAAGGCCAGAAGAAGAAAAUGCCAGUGCGAAUCCUCCAUCUGGAAUUGAAGACGAAACUCCUGAAAAUGGCGUACCUAAACCGAAAGUGACUGAGACUGAAGAUGAUAGUGAUAGCGACAGUGAUGAUGAUGAGGACGAUGUUCAUGUCACUAUAGGAGACAUUAAAACGGGAGCACCACAGUAUGGGAGUUAUGGUACAGCACCUGUAAAUCUUAACAUCAAGACAGGAGGAAGAGUUUAUGGAACUACCGUAGGAACGAAAGUGAAAGGAGUAGAUCUGGAUGCGCCUGGAAGCAUUAAUGGAGUUCCGCUCUUGGAGGUGGAUUUGGAUUCUUUUGAAGAUAAACCAUGGCGUAAACCUGGUGCUGAUCUUUCUGAUUAUUUUAAUUAUGGGUUUAAUGAAGAUACCUGGAAGGCUUACUGUGAAAAACAGAAGAGGAUACGAAUGGGGCUUGAAGUUAUACCAGUUACCUCUACUACAAAUAAAAUUACGGCCGAAGACUGUACUAUGGAAGUUACACCAGGUGCAGAGAUCCAAGAUGGCAGAUUCAAUCUUUUUAAGGUACAGCAGGGAAGAACUGGAAAUGCAGAAAAGGAAACAGCGCUUCCAUCUACAAAAGCGGAGUUUACUUCUCCUCCUUCUUUGUUCAAGACUGGACUUCCACCAAGCAGGAGAUUACCUGGGGCAAUUGAUGUUAUUGGUCAGACUAUAACUAUCAGCCGAGUAGAAGGAAGGCGACGGGCAAAUGAAAACAGCAAUAUACAGGUCCUUUCUGAAAGAUCUGCCACUGAAGUAGACAACAAUUUUAGCAAACCACCUCCAUUUUUCCCUCCAGGAGCUCCUCCAACUCACCUUCCACCUCCUCCAUUUCUUCCGCCUCCUCCGACUGUCAGCACUGCUCCACCUCUGAUUCCACCACCAGGUUUUCCUCCUCCACCAGGUGCUCCACCUCCAUCCCUUAUACCAACAAUAGAAAGUGGACAUUCCUCUGGUUAUGAUAGUCGUUCUGCACGUGCUUUUCCAUAUGGCAAUGUUGCCUUUCCCCACCUUCCUGGUUCUACUCCUUCAUGGCCUAGUCUUGUGGACACCAGCAAGCAAUGGGACUAUUACUCAAGGAGAGAGAAAGACCGAGACCGAGAGAGAGACCGAGACCGAGAGCGAGACCGUGAUCGAGACAGAGAACGAGAACGCACCAGAGAGAGGGAGAGGGAGCGUGAUCACAGUCCCACGCCGAGCGUCUUCAACAGUGAUGAAGAACGAUACAGAUACAGGGAGUAUGCAGAAAGAGGCUAUGAGCGCCACAGAGCAAGUCGGGAGAAAGAAGAACGACACAGAGAAAGACGACACAGAGAGAAAGAGGAAACCAGACACAAGUCCUCUCGAAGCAAUAGUAGACGUCGCCAUGAAAGUGAAGAAGGAGACAGUCAUAGGAGACACAAGCACAAAAAAUCUAAAAGAAGCAAAGAAGGAAAAGAAGCUGGCAGUGAGCCUGCCCCUGAACAGGAGAGCACUGAAGCUACACCUGCAGAAUAGGCGUGGUCAUGGCCUUCUGUGUAUAGUAGUGCCAGAAGUAGAUACUGUAAAUCUUGUUAUUUUUCUGGAUAAUGUUUAAGAAACUUGCCUUUCAUCUUGUUCUGUUAGUAUGAAAAGUUAAUUUUCUCUUCCAAAAUAAAAGAGUGAGUUUUUCAUGUUAAG
rnacentral:lncRNA from 1 species